AUUGAACGCUGGCGGCAGGCUUAACACAUGCAAGUCGAGCGGAGAUGAGGUGCUUGCACCUUAUCUUAGCGGCGGACGGGUGAGUAAUGCUUAGGAAUCUGCCUAUUAGUGGGGGACAACAUUCCGAAAGGAAUGCUAAUACCGCAUACGUCCUACGGGAGAAAGCAGGGGAUCUUCUGACCUUGCGCUAAUAGAUGAGCCUAAGUCGGCUUAGCUAGUGGGGGGGGUAAAGGCCUACCAAGGCGACGAUCUGUAGCGGGUCUUAGAGGAGGAUCCGCCACACUGGGACUGAUACACAGCCCAGACGCCUCCGGGAGGCAGCAGUGGGGAAUAUUGGACAAUGGGGGGAACCCUGAUCCAGCCAUGCCGCGUGUGUGAAGAAGGCCUUAUGGUUGUAAAGCACUUUAAGCGAGGAGGAGGCUACUGAGACUAAUACUCUUGGAUAGUGGACGUUACUCGCAGAAUGAGCACCGGCUAACCCUGUGCCAGCAGCCGCCGUAAAAC
rnacentral:rRNA from 1 species